rnacentral:rRNA from 1 species
GAUGAACGCUGGCGGCGUGCCUAAUACAUGCAAGUCGAGCGAACAGACGAGGAGCUUGCUCCUCUGACGUUAGCGGCGGACGGGUGAGUAACACGUGGAUAACCUACCUCUAAGACUGGGAUAACUUCGGGAAACCGGAGCUAAUACCGGAUAAUAUAUUGAACCGCAUGGUUCAAUAGUGAAAGACGGUUUUGCUGUCACUUAUAGAUGGAUCCGCGCCGCAUUAGCUAGUUGGUAAGGUAACGGCUUACCAAGGCAACGAUGCGUAGCCGACCUGAGAGGGUGAUCGGCCACACUGGAACUGAGACACGGUCCAGACUCCUACGGGAGGCAGCAGUAGGGAAUCUUCCGCAAUGGGCGAAAGCAUGACGGAGCAACGCCGCGUGAGUGAUGAAGGUCUUCGGAUCGUAAAACUCUGUUAUUAGGGAAGAACAAAUGUGUAAGUAACUAUGCACGUCUUGACGGUACCUAAUCAGAAAGCCACGGCUAACUACGUG